rnacentral:rRNA from 1 species
UAUACAUGAGCAAAAAUCUCAACUUUAUUAGAAGAGACGCAUUUAUUAGAUAAAAAGGCCAUGCAUGCUUUUACAGUAUGAAAAUUGGUGAUUUAUAAUAACUUAGCAAAUCGCAUAGUGAAAACAGGCGAUAAAUCAUUCAAGUUUCUGACCUAUCAGCUUUCGACGGUAUGGUAUUGGCUUACCGUGGCAGUGACGGUUAACGGGGGAUUAGGGUUCAAUUCCGGAGAGGGAGCCUGAGAAACGGCUACCACAUCUAAGGAAGGCAGCAGGCGCGCAAAUUACCCAAUUCUAACAGUUUGAGAGAGGUAGUAACAAGAAAUAACAAUACAAGGCAGUUAAAAUGCUUUGUAAUUGGAAUGAUAGAAAUUUAAACCCUUUUUAAAGUAUCAAUUGGAGGGCAAGUCUGGUGCCAGCAGCCGCGGUAAUUCCAGCUCCAAUAGCGUAUAUUAAAAUUGUUGCAGUUAAAAAGCUCGUAGUUGAAGUUCUGCUAAAAGUAACCGGUCUGCUUUGAAUAAAAGUGGUAUCUUGGUAUGUAUUUAGCAAUGAUGUCCUUUGAAGUGUUUUUUACUUUAUUGUAAUAAAGCAUAUUCAGGACUUUUACUUUGAAAAAAAUUAAAGUGUUUCUAGCAGGCCAACGCUUUUGAAUACUGCAGCAUGGAAUAAUAAGA